rnacentral:lncRNA from 1 species
UGUAGGCCUGGAUUUUCAUGCUGUCAUCACUGCUGGCGGUUUAGCUCCACUUCAGCUUCGCAUUGAGGGAGAUUCACUUGACAUUUGCUGCUUUUUACUGCCCUUUACCCCAGGACAAAAGGUGGACACUCUUCCAAGCGACACCACCGCUCUAGUCGGGGUCAAGCUCACCACCGGAGCCCAUCUGCGUCUCCAGGACACCACUCGCACACGUCCAACAGGAAGAACGAGGAGUCUCGGAGCAAAGCCAACAUCAGACAGCGCAGCAGCUCCUGGAGCAGCGGCCGCUCAUCCUCACGCUCCGCCUCCAAAGACAAAGGCCCCAGCAAGGCCAAGUCCCCACACAGCCGACAGAACAACUCCAGAGAGAGGGACAGUCCUUACCACUCUGACACAGACAGCCGAGCUCGCCGUCGCUCACGCAGCUACUCACCCAUCCGCAAGAGAAGAAGAGAUUCACCCAGCUUCAUGGAGGCUCGCAGGAUCACCAGUCCUAAAGGUCCUGACGCCAAGACAACGGGAUGCUGCUGAACUCAGCCGCUGCAGGCUAGUUACCCUGGUAACAGUUGCCGUGCAGCAGGACCCCGCUAGUCUGACUCCUGAAGCUCGGCUGAACAGCGAACCAUCAGAACUCCCCUG